rnacentral:lncRNA from 10 species
AGGCUGGUCUCGAACUCCUGUCCUCAAGUUAUCUGGCCACCUAGGCCUCCCAAAAUGCUGGGACUACAGGCGUGAGCCACUGCGUUGGGCCGAACCUGACUCUGACUUUCUCGUAUUCCGCUCUGUGUCUCCUUAACAGCUUGAGUUUAGUAUUUCUUAACAUGGAAGGGGAGCCACCAGUUAAUUGCUCAUGAAUUUUACGCAAUGUUGAGUGCGGGAAAGGCUCUUUGAGUGAAUCCAAACAGUACCCUUUCUGGGAGAGCAGGCUGAGAACAAGGAACCCGUCCAAGGUCCUCUGGACCUGGUGGCUGAGCAGGACUUUGGGAAAAGGCUUUGCCUGGAGGCUGCACAGCUAUGAGGUUGAGAGGGAGGGCCUCCGGGCCACCUGCUGGAAUGUGGCUUUGGAACCCACUAGACGUGUGACCUAGAGCAAGUCAUGUGACUGCUCGGUGCCUCGGUUUCCUCAUCUGUGAAACUGCUAUGAAUGGUACCCGCCUCAUGAGGAUUAGGAGAGGGAAUGUAUUUAGGGUGUUUAGUGCUGUGCUUGGCACUUGGUGAUGGUUCAAUCGUACACAAAUCUUCCGAGAUGUUCAGUGCAGGAAAGCAUCUUUGGAUAAAUCCAGGAGGUGCCCUUUCCAGGUGAGCGGGCUGAGGACAAGGAACAUGCCCAAGGUCUUCUUGGGUCUGGGGGCUGAGCAGGAUUUGCCACUCAUUUCAAGGCCAUUCCUCUAAACUGCACCCUGGUGAUGCUUGUCCUGCAGUCCCGCCUAGAUGUGGGCAUGGGGGAGCUUGGAGUUUGCAGCCAGGCACCCCCAAGUAAGAAUCCGGGCUUCCCCACUUCUUGGAUGUGUGAUCCUGGGCAAUUUGCUUCAGGUGUCUGAGCCUCAGUUUCUCCAUCUUUUUACUUUUUGAAAGGAAGUCUUGCUCUGUCACCCAGGCUGGAGUGCAGUGGUGUGAUCUUGGCUCACUGCAACUUCUGCCUCCCAGGUUCAAGCGAUUAUCCUGCCUCAGCCUCCCAAGAAGCUGGGACUACAGGCGCAUGCCACCACGCCCAUCUAAUUUUUGUAUUUUUAGUAGAGAUGGGGUUUUACUAUGUUGACCAGGCUGGUCUCGAACUCCUGACCAUAGGUGAUCCGCCCACUGUGGCCUCCCAAAGUGCUGGGAUUAAGGCAUGGGCUACCAUACCCAGUCCAGUUUACCCCUCUUUAAAUAGAGUGAAUGAUAUUACUAAUCAUAGAGUCACCAUGAGACAUAAAGAUCAUUCAUUCGAGCAAGGCACAGUGGUGCACACUUGUAGUCCAAGCUACUCAGGAGGCUGAGGUGGGAGGAUUGCUUGAGCCCAGAAAUUCAAGUUCAGCAUGGGCAACUUAGUGAGAUUCCCCAUAUCUCUCUCAGAAAAAGAGACCACUUAUUCAUUCAUUCAUUUAUCCAGCAAAUAUUUGUUUCUGUCUUUCAUGAAUCAGGAGCCUGUCUAGAGAUAAACAUUAAAAAAUUAGGGAAUCAUUUAGCAAAUUGGAAGAAUGUAGGUGCUAUAGGGAAAAAGCAGAGAAUGGGGAAGAGGUGAAUCUUAGAUAGCAGUUGAAGAUACUCAGUUUACAGCCUAGGCAACAUAGUGAGACACUUUCUACCAAAAAAAAAAAAAAAAAUUAGCCAGGCAUGGUGGGUGGCACGUGCCUGUAGUUCCAGUUACUUGGGAGUUUGAUGUGGGAGGAUUGCUUGAGCCCAGGAGGUUGAGGCUGCAGUGGGAUAUGAUUGUGCCACCACACUCCAGCCUGGGUAAUAAAGUGAGACCUUGCCUCUCUCUCUCUCUCUCCCUCUCUCUCUCCAUACACACACACACACACACACACACACACACACAGCAUAAGUUGGGUGGCUUAAACAAUGGACAUUAAUUUUCUCACAGUUCUGGAGGCCAGAAGUCUGAGAUCAGGGUGCCAGCAUGGUCAGGUUCUAGUGAAGACCCUCUUCCUGGCUUGCAGAUGGCUGCCCUCAUGCUGUGUCCUCACAUGGCUAGGAGAGGGAGCAAGUUCUCUGGUGUCUCUUCUUUUUUUU